CCACCGGGGCAUUGCUUAGUACGGCGAGUGAAGCGGCAAAAGCUCAAAUUUGAAAUCUGGUACCUUCGGUGCCCGAGUUGUAAUUUGGAGAGGGCAACUUUGGGGCCGUUCCUUGUCUAUGUUCCUUGGAACAGGACGUCAUAGAGGGUGAGAAUCCCGUGUGGCGAGGAGUGCGGUUCUUUGUAAAGUGCCUUCGAAGAGUCGAGUUGUUUGGGAAUGCAGCUCUAAGUGGGUGGUAAAUUCCAUCUAAAGCUAAAUAUUGGCGAGAGACCGAUAGCGAACAAGUACAGUGAUGGAAAGAUGAAAAGAACUUUGAAAAGAGAGUGAAAAAGUACGUGAAAUUGUUGAAAGGGAAGGGCAUUUGAUCAGACAUGGUGUUUUGUGCCCUCUGCUCCUUGUGGGUAGGGGAAUCUCGCAUUUCACUGGGCCAGCAUCAGUUUUGGUGGCAGGAUAAAUCCAUAGGAAUGUAGCUUGCCUCGGUAAGUAUUAUAGCCUGUGGGAAUACUGCCAGCUGGGACUGAGGACUGCGACGUAAGUCAAGGAUGCUGGCAUAAUGGUUAUAUGCCGCCCGUCUUGAACCCCCGGAACCA
rnacentral:rRNA from 1 species